UGCAGUCGAGCGGCAGCACGGGUACUUGUACCUGGUGGCGAGCGGCGGACGGGUGAGUAAUGCCUAGGAAUCUGCCUGGUAGUGGGGGAUAACGCUCGGAAACGGACGCUAAUACCGCAUACGCCCUACGGGAGAAAGCAGGGGACCUUCGGGCCUUGCGCUAUCAGAUGAGCCUAGGUCGGAUUAGCUAGUUGGUGAGGUAAUGGCUCACCAAGGCGACGAUCCGUAACUGGUCUGAGAGGAUGAUCAGUCACACUGGAACUGAGACACGGUCCAGACUCCUACGGGAGGCAGCAGUGGGGAAUAUUGGACAAUGGGCGAAAGCCUGAUCCAGCCAUGCCGCGUGUGUGAAGAAGGUCUUCGGAUUGUAAAGCACUUUAAGUUGGGAGGAAGGGCAGUUACCUAAUACGUGAUUGUUUUGACGUUACCGACAGAAUAAGCACCGGCUAACUCUGUGCCA
rnacentral:rRNA from 1 species